UGACCUCAAAUCAGGUAGGAUUACCCGCUGAACUUAAGCAUAUCAUA
rnacentral:rRNA from 1 species